UACGUAGGGGGCUAGCGUUGUCCGGAAUCAUUGGGCGUAAAGCGCGCGUAGGCGGCCCGGUAAGUCCGUUGUGAAAGUCAAAGGCUCAACCUUUGAAAGCCGAUGGAUACUGCCGGGCUGGAGUCCGGAAGAGGCGAGUGGAAUUCCUGGUGUAGCGGUGGAAUGCGCAGAUAUCAGGAGGAACACCAAUAGCGAAGGCAGCUCGCUGGGACGUUACUGACACUGAGGCGCGAAAGCGUGGGGAGCGAACAGG
rnacentral:rRNA from 1 species